rnacentral:rRNA from 1 species
CCCGGCUAACUACGUGCCAGCAGCCGCGGUAAUACGUAGGGGGCAAGCGUUGUCCGGAAUUAUUGGGCGUAAAGCGCGCGCAGGCGGUUCCUUAAGUCUGAUGUGAAAGGCCACAGCUCAACUGUGGAGGGCCAUUGGAAACUGGGGAACUUGAGGACAGAAGAGGAGAGCGGAAUUCCACGUGUAGCGGUGAAAUGCGUAGAUAUGUGGAGGAACACCAGUGGCGAAGGCGGCUCUCUGGUCUGUAACUGACGCUGAGGCGCGAAAGCAUGGGUAGCGAACAGGAUUAGAUACCCUGGUAGUCCAUGCCGUAAACGUUGAGUGCUAGGUGUUAGGGGGUCCAACCCUUAGUGCUGCAGUUAACGCAAUAAGCACUCCGCCUGGGGAGUACGGCCGCAAGGCUGAAACUCAAAGGAAUUGACGGGGGCCUGCACAAGCGGUGGAGCAUGUGGUUUAAUUCGACGCAACGCGAAGAACCUUACCAGGUCUUGACAUCUUCGGACAGCCAAGAGAUUGGGUCUUCCCUUCGGGGACCGAAUGACAGGUGGUGCAUGGUUGUCGUCAGCUCGUGUCGUGAGAUGUUGGGUUAAGUCCCGUAACGAGCGCAACCCCUGAUCUUAGUUGCCAGCAUUUAGUUGGGCACUCUAGGAUGACUGCCGGUGACAAACCGGAGGAAGGCGGGGAUGACGUCAAAUCAUCAUGCCCCUUAUGACCUGGGCUACACACGUGCUACAAUGGAUGGUACAAAGGGAAGCCAAACCGCGAGGUCGAGCUAAUCCCAUAAAGCCAUUCUCAGUUCGGAUUGUAGGCUGCAACUCGCCUGCAUGAAGCCGGAAUCGCUAGUAAUCGCGGAUCAGAAUGCCGCGGUGAAUACGUUCCCAGGCCUUGUACACACCGCCCGUCACACCACGAGAGUUGGCAACACCCGAAGUCGGUGGGGUAACCUUCACGGAGCCAGCCGCCGAAG